GAGCAUGAACAUUGACUUCCGACAGAGAGAGGCAAUCAAUGCCAGAGUUGAGGAGUCGGCAGUAUUAAAGCUUAAAAGAACUGUUUGGCCCAAUUAAUAGAUCUCAUUACCCUUCUCAAAGUAAUGGAAGUCAGUCCAUGAUAUCAGUGUCACUUUGUUCUUGCCUUGCUUACAGGUCACUUUCUUGAACAGGUGUGAGGCAGACACACUGGCAUGCCUACCCAAGUUAGUGUUCAUUUUAUGCUGCCCAGGAUAGCAUUCGGUUUAGACUUACACGUAUUUCUUGUGAUCGUAUUGCUCUGUCCUUGUUAAUGAAAUGCUGCUGUGUUUAAACAUACCUGCUAAAACUUCACAGGGUUUUUUGAAAGUUUUUCCUCCUUUACCAGAGUAAGAAAUGUGGUGCUGCCUUUCUGUUUAACAUAAUCUUUGGUGGCAUCUAAACAAGAGACCCUCUUCUAUGAAUGAUUUAUUAUGGCAUUAUACUUUUUGAGCUCUCAG
rnacentral:lncRNA from 1 species